UACAGAGGUCCCAAGCGUUGUUCGGAUUCACUGGGCGUAAAGGGUGCGUAGGUGGCCAGGUAAGUUUGGUGUGAAAGCUCGGAGCUUAACUCCGAAAUGGCAUUGAAUACUAUCUGGCUGGAGGGUCGGAGGGGAGACUGGAAUUCUCGGUGUAGCAGUGAAAUGCGUAGAUAUCAAGUGGAACACCAGUGGCGAAGGCGAGUCCCUGGACAGAUCCUGACGCUGAGGCACGAAAGCUAGGGGAGCAAACAGG
rnacentral:rRNA from 1 species